AACCUCCGCAAUGUGAGAAAUCGCGACGGGGGGAUCCCAAGUGCCAUUCUUAACGGGAUGGCUUUUCAUUAGUGUAAAGAGCUUUUGGAAUAAGAGCUGGGCAAGACCGGUGCCAACCGCCGCGGUAACACCGGCAGCUCUAGUGGUAACAAUUUUUAUUGGGCCUAAAGCGUCCGUAGCCGGUUUAAUAAGUCUCUGGUGAAAUCCUGUAGCUUAACUGUGGGAAUUGCUGGAGAUACUAUUAGACUUGAGACCGGGAGAGGUUAGAGGUACUCCCAGGGUAGAGGUGAAAUUCUGUAAUCCUGGGAGGACCGCCUGUUGCGAAGGCGUCUAACUGGAACGGUUCUGACGGUGAGGGACGAAAGUUAGGGGCGCGAACCGGGAUUAGAUACCCGGGUAGUCCUAACUGUAAACGAUGCGGACUUGGUGUUGGGGUGGCUUUGAGCUGCUCCAGUGCCGAAGGGAAGCUGUUAAGUCCGCCGCCUGGGAAGUACGGUGCAGACUGAAACUUAAAGGAAUU
rnacentral:rRNA from 1 species